GGUCUGUCUUCUAAAGGAGAAAAUGACUCUUUCAAGGUCCUUGCUUUAAUUCAUCAAAAUGUCAUUCCUUCAAUGUCAAACCCUUCCAUCUUAUGUGAUUUCUUGACUAGAUCAUAUGAUAUUGGUGGUGUUAUCAGUGUGAUGGCCUUAAGUGGUCUUUUCAUUCUUAUGACACAACACGGUCUGGAGUAUCGAAAAUUCUAUGAAAAGCUUUAUGCAC